rfam:Desulfitobacterium hafniense Y51 DNA, complete genome.
UAUGUUUAUGUGCUCCGAAACUGGAAACCUAAAGUUAGCUAUGGUUUACCAGUCGUGCAUUCUGCACCGGGUAUUAUUGGAAACAGUAAUGCCUCCCAUUUGGAAAGGAGUCUGUAGGGUAUGCGGG